rnacentral:tRNA from 1 species
GCUCAAGUAGCUUAGUAUAAAGCAUUGUUUUUGUAAACCAAAGCCGGAUUAAACCCCUAGAGCA